ACGGGUGAGUAACACGUAUCCAACCUGCCGUCUACUCUUGGCCAGCCUUCUGAAAGGAAGAUUAAUCCAGGAUGGCAUCAUGAGUUCACAUGUCCGCAUGAUUAAAGGUAUUUUCCGGUAGACGAUGGGGAUGCGUUCCAUUAGAUAGUAGGCGGGGUAACGGCCCACCUAGUCAACGAUGGAUAGGGGUUCUGAGAGGAAGGUCCCCCACAUUGGUACUGAGACACGGACCAA
rnacentral:rRNA from 1 species